rnacentral:rRNA from 1 species
GCUACACAUGCAGUCGAGCGGUAACAGAUCCAGCUUGCUGGAUGCUGACGAGCGGCGGACGGGUGAGUAAUGCAUAGGAAUCUGCCCGAUAGUGGGGGAUAACCUGGGGAAACCCAGGCUAAUACCGCAUACGUCCUACGGGAGAAAGGGGGCUCCGGCUCCCGCUAUGGGAUGAGCCUAUGUCGGAUUAGCUAGUUGGUGAGGUAACGGCUCACCAAGGCCACGAUCCGUAGCUGGUCUGAGAGGAUGAUCAGCCACAUCGGGACUGAGACACGGCCCGAACUCCUACGGGAGGCAGCAGUGGGGAAUAUUGGACAAUGGGGGAAACCCUGAUCCAGCCAUGCCGCGUGUGUGAAGAAGGCCCUCGGGUUGUAAAGCACUUUCAGCGAGGAAGAACGCCUAGCGGUUAAUACCCGCUAGGAAAGACAUCACUCGCAGAAGAAGCACCGGCUAACUCCGUGCCAGCAGCCGCGGUAAUACGGAGGGUGCAAGCGUUAAUCGGAAUUACUGGGCGUAAAGCGCGCGUAGGUGGCUUGAUAAGCCGGUUGUGAAAGCCCCGGGCUCAACCUGGGAACGGCAUCCGGAACUGUCAAGCUAGAGUGCAGGAGAGGAAGGUAGAAUUCCCGGUGUAGCGGUGAAAUGCGUAGAGAUCGGGAGGAAUACCAGUGGCGAAGGCGGCCUUCUGGACUGACACUGACACUGAGGUGCGAAAGCGUGGGUAGCAAACAGGAUUAGAUACCCUGGUAGUCCACGCCGUAACGAUGUCGACCAGCCGUUGGGUGCCUAGCGCACUUUGUGGCGAAGUUAACGCGAUAAGUCGACCGCCUGGGGAGUACGGCCGCAAGGUUAAAACUCAAAUGAAUUGACGGGGGCCCGCACAAGCGGUGGAGCAUGUGGUUUAAUUCGAUGCAACGCGAAGAACCUUACCUACUC